rnacentral:rRNA from 1 species
GCCUACGGGGGGCAGCAGUAGGGAAUCUUCCACAAUGGACGAAAGUCUGAUGGAGCAACGCCGCGUGAGUGAAGAAGGGUUUCGGCUCGUAAAGCUCUGUUGGUAGUGAAGAAAGAUAGUGGUAGUAACUGGCCUUUAUUUGACGGUAAUUACUUAGAAAGUCACGGCUAACUACGUGCCAGCAGCAGCGGUAAUACGUAGGUGGCAAGCGGUGUCCGGAUUUAUUAGGCGGAACGCGGGUGGAG